CUCCCUUCUGAAGAACCCCUAUGUCCUUAAUUUGGUGUCGUGAGAAAUCAGGACUGUUACUUUGAAAAAAUUAGAGUGUUUAAAGCACGCUCACGCUUGAAUACAUUAGCAUGGAAUAAUGAAAUAGGACGUUUGAUUCUAUUUUGUUGGUUUCUAGGAUCGACGUAAUGAUUAAUAGGGAUAGUUGGGGGCAUUAGUAUUCAAUUGUCAGAGGUGAAAUUCUUGGAUUUAUUGAAGACUAACUACUGCGAAAGCAUUUGCCAAGGAUGUUUUCAUUAAUCAAGAACGAAAGUUAGGGGAUCGAAGACGAUCAGAUACCGUCGUAGUCUUAACCAUAA
rnacentral:rRNA from 1 species